rnacentral:rRNA from 1 species
AGUGAACGCUGGCGGCAGGCCUAAUACAUGCAAGUCGAACGGCAGCACAGCAGAGCUUGCUCUGUGGGUGGCGAGUGGCGGACGGGUGAGGAAUACAUGGGGAUCUGCCCAGUCGUGGGGGAUAACGUAGGGAAACUUACGCUAAUACCGCAUGCGCCCUUCGGGGGAAAGCCGGGGGACCUUCGGGCCUGGCGCGAUUG